GAAGAGGAGGGGGUCGUAUCCGAUACCAGGGCAGCGGGUCAUCUUGUUAAAUGAUGUCCCUUCUCUCUCCCUCCUUCUUUCGAUAGUUGCCGCUGCGCCGCCAGGUCGUCUAGGCAUGACGAGCCCCCUAGACCCCCUUCCCUCUUGGCCACCCCCGGCGGAUACGCAGCCACUCCCGGGUCAGCCGCGAUCUCGUCCUUACCGCCGCCGCCACAACCCCUCUCCCUCCACCGCUGGCCACCAGCAGCGACACAACUACCAACAACGCCCCCACCCGGUACAGCAGCGGUUGUGCCUCCCACUACGAGACAUAUUGGACGCAGUCUCAGACUUCCUAUCGUUAUUACAUAACGUCUCAACCCUAGGGUGAGAACAAUUAGGAACAUGUACCAAAGUACAAUGUACAUUGUUGCUAUUGUCACAUUAAUCUCAACUGGAACCUUUACGUGUUAAUAGGCCACAUGAUCACAGGGUCGAACCCGUCGACUUUUUAGAGGUUAUAAACCUCGAAAUGUCGUUGUUGUAUUCACCCGGUUAUGGACGACUUGACCCGUUGGAUUGAUCGGACCAGUCAAACCUAAACAUAGACUUGUUCAAGUGUCCUCAAUAAGGACUGUCGGACCCCUUAGAAAACUUCGAAGCUAAGGAGGCAGAAUUGUUGUUGUCGUACAGCCCAGUUUAAGGAUUUAGGAACUGACUAUAGUGAUGAGAAGUUCAUGAGCUAGAGAGUUUGUUGUUGGAGAGUCCUCGUCAAGGUAGAUGACCGAGGAAAAGCGAGAAGUGGGGAUAUUCAAAACGCUUAUUAGGUGAAGAAACACCAGGACCAUGGUGUUUUGGGACGGGACCCCUAGGAGGAAAAAGGGGUGGAGGAGGUAUGUUAGGAGGUUGUGGUGGUUGAGUUAGUCGUCCACGGAGAUCGUGACCUCGAUAGCGUCCACCGCAACGACGACCACGACGUGACCACAAACGACAAGGACGAUAACGUAAACGUUACACCGCGGCAGCAUUUGGACUUCUUGUAAAGAAGCUACACGGACGGCUCCUUCUAGGUCUUCAAGUAGAACCAGUCGAAUUCUUCAAGAGUAACGCUCUCGAAGUUCAACGUAGACUGUUGAAAUUAUUAUUCUUGUAAAAUCCUUCUCCACCAAAACCUUUUCACAUGUUCCCCUCCGAACGUCUACCAUGUAACCAUCGCCACUUUUCUGAUUUUCUCCUUGCAUGGGGACCACCGCUCGAAGUCAAGGUUUGUCUUCAACUCUACUAAUCGUACCGUCACGUAUCCUUGGAAGAGGCUGAAGCACCAAAAACGUACUGUGGAUGACUUGCUAAUGAUCAGAUAGGUAUGUACCGGUUACCGUCACAACGUAGUGCAAACGCUCUCGCAGUCGGUAGACUUGGUGGGGAACUAACCCUAUGGUCUUCUGCUUAACGUGAACCUAGACGUUCCCCUGAGAGAAUGAACGUGCUAGUGACACUAGGGUUCUAGUAGGUGGCACUACAGUUUCGACGUUUAUAAGAAAACCUGCUCCUAAAGCUCCGCCAACACCCACUAAAACCCGAACGGUUUGAAUACCUAAUGUUCCUAUGAGUACAUUGAUGACGACAAGCACCUUGUUAACCUGUGUAACGAGGACUCAUGGAUAGGUGACCUUUCAGGAGACUCUUCUGACUACAAAAGCCGAUGCCUUAGUGUGAAGACCUCGAAUAAUGACCCGUCUCCCGUAAACUAGAACGAGCGGAACGUUUACUACUGCUACAAUACGAAGAACUGACCCACUUUCCUAACAACUUCCUCUUUUUUCAACUCUACGACCACCUGGGUCUGAACGUCUCGUUGAUACUUCUCUGGCUCCACCUUAGAGACUAGGUCCAUCGCGACGACACGUGCGUCCCGAGCGGUCACCUCGCGGGGUUCUACAGCCUCCAGCACUCCUACGACCUUCCACUGCCGAACCGUCUCUCUACCCUCCUUACCGUCUUCCACCUCCACCAGUCCGUCCUCCGUCUCAACCGAGGAGAAGCGUUGCUGACCUAACAACUGAGGUGUAUAUUGGAGGCGCGGCACCUUGACAGACCGGGUUCUACUGGUUGCAGGACCGUAUCCGUUUUUAGUGGUAAACUAGUCAGUAAGUCGGAUUAACAACAAACACUUAUACUUUCCAUCGAACAUGAGAAAACAAAUUACUGUUAAAAUUUCCUACGUAAAAGGGGGGUAAGAGGAGGUGUGACUCUUCAAUACGAUCCGACGUCAGUAAACAAUUCCACUUUCCGUAUGUAAAACACAACUUAAACGUUCCGUGACAACAUAGUUAGACUAUUUUCACGUUACACAAUAAGACACUAGGGAAACAGCCACGUAUCUGUAAGUA
rnacentral:rRNA from 1 species